UGUUACGUAGCCGAACUGGUAGAGCGUUUGACUUACACACAAAAUGUCAACGGUUCGAUUCUGGCUUUUGUCAU